UUUCCAGAAGUGUUUUUUUCAUCUUUGAAGUAUCAUGAAGUUUUAACAAAUGACAAUCUAGCACUGAACCUUGGAAGUGAUUCUGAAUCGCUGGCGAAACACAGCUGCUAAUACAAGGCUCAAAUUCAAGUAUAUAAUUAUGGUAAUAGGUAAGGAUCAAUAACACAUUGAACAAAACAAAAAUUAUAACAAUACAAAAUCAAGAUGAACAAAGGGUAAAUGGAUGACUACCGUCUUCCUAAUUGAGCAACGUAAGAAUUGGCCCAAGUGACAUAUGUCAGCCAUCAAUAAGGGUCAUAGCUAUUAGACUUCUUUGUUAUUUGCAAGUAUCAAAGAAUCAUAAUAAAGAAUUGGAUUGUCUUCAAAGGCACUCAAAGGAGUUGCAACUUAAAGUAUGCACCAAGUUAAUCUGAUGGCGCAGGUAACUUACUUCAAACAUAAAGCGUCCUUGAAAACCAUACAAUACAAACCACCCUUAGCAUUACAAGGAGAUGAAAGGCAAUCAACUGUUGCCCCACAGAAUAUUUCAGGAUGGGGGAUGGAAAGGGGGAAUCAGAGAUUGGACUGAAAUAGAUACCAUCUUUAGAAUAAAUUUGUGUAGGCCAGUUUAUGCUUAACAAUUAUUUGUUCUGGAAGCAUGGAGAAAAGGGACAAAAGGGGAUACAGGGACCAGUUUUAAUAAUGACCUCUUCUGAUUCGUGUCUAAGAGUUUGAACACGAUAUACAAUACCAUUUCCAGGUAAUGUUGUGAAGUUACUGCCAAAACCCAGGCAUCCUGGCCUUGACCACAGAGCAAUGGCCCAGCAAACAAGCAGUGGGUGGGGACGAAGUAGUUGUAGCUAGAGCCCAAAGGCAUAAUAUGAUUAAGGUGGCCUAAGCACAUGAAAGACGUAUAAACUUAAAAAAUUUCAUAAUUUUGCUAGUGGAAAGAUAGCAGGCAAAGUUAAUGGCUCACCUGAAGCCUAGAAGCAUUGUACAUUGGUAUUGUGAAUGUCAUGCUAACUGGACCAGCCUCUUUUGAGAUAUUCCCUGCACCGGGCAACAAAUAUUUUGAUUGGGUACCAUAUGACGCAAACAUCAUAAAUUGAAGCAUGGCCUCAUUGCAAAUGACGGAUAAUAUAUACCAUGCAAUUCCUGUGAAAAUGCCAGCUUUGCGCGCAAUGGAUGUUCAGAUCCACCAACAAUCUUUUUUAGUCCCCAUUCAAGUCUCUUAUUUGCUUCCUUAAAAUCUGUUGUUUGCCCAAUUGCUCCAGGUUCCAACUCAAAAGUAGCUCUACAAAUGACCGACAGAAAAUUUAAUCAGAAACAAUUACGGUAUUUUAAAUAAAAACAAAUUAUCUGGACAACCACCAUCAGUAUGAUCUCUCUCUGUUGACUCACCUAAAAGUAAGGAAAAACUACCUUUUCCAAAUCAUUUUAAGUUUAACAUGCUAAAUGCUGAAUGCAGCUUGACCAACGCACAGGUCCGCCCCUUCUUAUAAGGUUUAAUGAACUAUCUACAAGGAUCCUGCAAAGUCUACCAAUCUUCCAAUAAUUCCUUACAACCUAGUAGCCUUCUUUAACAAAAAGCAGUAACUAGUCAUUGAUUCAUUGCUUAAAAGGCAAACACGAGUCUGCUAUCCCUUUAAAAUGAGCUUCCAAGUAUGUCUGCCAUCUCCCCUCAAUUCAAGUACUUGAAAAGUUACUAAUAAUUAUAUGUUUGCUUAUUGUGAGUCAUGCAAACGACUGGUCACAUUUUAGAACAGUUUCUCUUUGACAUUUAAAAUUUGAGAAAAGGUUAAACAAGCUUGUCAAGAAUUUCUAUUUUAGCAUCCCGAUGACAAAUUUGCAGCACUACUAGAAAACAAGCUUUAAACCACAAGAUCAUAUAAUAUAAUUUUGCAGAAAUGCAUUAUUAAGCAAGUUCCAAAACAUGUGCAAAGGAUGUUGUCUGCUUACCUCACCAAAAAGAGAAUGCAUAGGAUCAUACCUGGUAGUAUAUUUUGGCAAUGGCAUCUGUACAACAAUUGUGUUUGUAGUAAUGCUUGAGGAAAACUCAGCCGAUAUUUUAAAAAUCACCUCAGCCUAUAUGCACCAGCAAAUAUAGGAACAGCAUGGUUAUUCAAGAUACAUAAUAAAAAUGGUGAUCAGCAAUAUAACUUUAAAAUAUACUUGGAAAUAAAGCCAGCCACGGAUGGUUCAGGGCAGAACCAGCAGUUCUGAUCCAUGGAGGAGAAGGCUCUGAAUCGGACAGCAGGGGACAGUUCCCCACGGUUCUGGUUUGAGGAUUAUUCUCAUUUCGGUUUGGUUUUGGUUUAUCCGGGUUGACGCAAUCCAAUGACUGAAUUUUUUCAAUUUUUUUUUUUCUUUAAAAAAGGUUCAAACCGGACUGUUAAGCCAAACUACCAGUUCACAGGGAGACAGUCCCAGGCCAGUUCGGAACCAUGGAUGGUGAACAGUCCCAGGCCUGGAUUUGAGUGGUCCGGGACCAGUUCCAAAUUGACUGUUGGCCAUGUAUACUUCGAAAAGCAAAGCAAUAAAAACACAAAAUACUAUAAUGAGUGUUAUGCCUCAUGCCCAACACAGAUACUGUUAUGCCAUAAUAAAUGGUUCCUUUCCUCUUGGUUAUUUUCAUUAUCACAGGAAGAUAGUAUUCACCUUGAGGGCUCCUGCUUCCUCAAUCAAAGUGGAGGUUUGAAUUCCCGAGUCAAACGAUAGUUCAUGACAAGAAAUUCACCAUCUAGGGGUACCUAAAGAGCAUAUAAUUGCCUAUCUAAGAAGCAAGAGAAAUAAAUUUAAUCUCUUCAAUUAACAUAUGAUUUUCAAGCUUACAUUGUUUUAAUUUCACUCACCAGUGUCAAUGUUCUAUCCAGAUCAAAAUAUCAAGACGUACAGAUUCAUGGAAAUUACAAUCAUCAAGUAUCACUGCUCCUGACCCAGAUGAACUCCUAUAAUCUGUAACAGCAAGUGGCAACAAUUGAGAUAGAGGGAGAGUUUUGACCAAAAAUUAGAGAAAUUAGCUUCAAAGAUAUUCAUUGAUAUCAUUGGUUAUCAUAAACACUCUCACACAAUAAAAGAAAGAAAGGGGAAAACAAGUAAACAACCCUUUUUGAAUUUUUUUUUUAAAAAAAGGGAAACAAAAAAACUUUCAUUAGGGACCAAAAUUUAUAAUAAGCAAUUAUAUAUACAUUUAAUGACUAGUAGAGUUGUCAUUUAUAAGUAAAUGUGGUUUUUCCUUGUCCUAAAACCUUGAUGAGUACUCACCACGCUUGCCCAUAAAUGCAUUUGGCAAGGCAACAUAAUCAUGAGUUAUUAAUUUUUUGAGGUAAUCAUGCAAAAACUUGAAAUAUACCAUAGACUGAUCUUCCACUGCCUCUUCCUAUGCUUAGGUCUUCAUUAAGGGCCAACCGAAUUUCUGGAUUUCCAGUAAGAUUACUCUUCAUUUGGUGGUGCCAUCAAUUUCAGAUGUCAGUAUAUAACCCUGUUUGUAGAAACAACAAUGAUUAACAAAUGGCUUAAUGUUGAGAUGAAAAAAGAGUAUUUUCAAUGAACAAACAAAUCAGUUUACAUAAAAAAAGAUUAUAAAUGAGCUCCAUGAAAAAAUCAUAAAAACUCAAUGUGACAUGAAGACCUUUGGUGAUAUCACACAUGAAAUUCUAACCACAUCUUGAUAACAAGUUGAUCCAGUGCAUAGCUGCAAGUCUGUAACUGCAUUGCUGAAGAAAAUGCUAAUGCAAUUUGCCAAUUGGAUGUGUGCAUGAUAAGGGGAUAAACACACUAAAAAUUUAGUUGUAUAUUUCAAUAAUUACACUAGAGCUGAAUGUAGCACUGAUUUUCUCGAUUAUAUCCACAAAUAUUUCCUCCCUCUUCCUACCUCCAGGCUCAUUCGCCACAACAGAUUUUGUUACAGCUGUGCCUGGCAUCCUUUUUGUCCCUUGCUGCAUUCGUCCAAAGUCAAAUCAAAUGAAAUAUAGGAGCUAUCAACAAUCAAUAUUAUCCAAGUAUUAUAGAGGCUGCAAACAGCCAACAUCAAUCACGAUUGGCUCAUUAAAAACAUUGGACUUCAACACUUCAAUGGAUGUUGCUUGUACAUAACCAAAAUCCUGGAAAAAGAACACAAUUGCAAGUCUAACUAAAAACUUCUCCAAUAGUUAUACUUUCCUAAGUAAAAUGUCAAAAUUUCAUGGACAGCACAUGUCUAUUACUUCUAUUCUAUACACAGAAAAAGGUAAAUAGUACAUUCUUCCAAAAAUUCAAAUGGAUUGACAUAGGAUACAGUAUGAUGAAAUAGCUACAUAAAGAUCCACUCAUGAAUCAUUUAGAAAUUUUGGAAUGAGCAGGAGAUGGUAAGAGAGUAUAAAUGUCACCAUUGACAAUUGAGGGGAGAAAAGGAUCUCUUCAACUACAUGAAAUUAACAGAAGUGCUAAAAGCUUAAAUUAAAGAUUUCUAAGUCAACAGUAAGGAUGAACAACUAUACAUACUACAUAGAAGUUAGAAACAAAAGCAUGAGAAUCAGGGAACAUACACUUGAUUUAGGCCAAAACAUUUCAAUCCAAUGGCAAGGUUUACGAAGGAAGAGCAGAAAAUCUUCAUAUAUGCCCAUACACAUGGCAACAGAAAGGAUAGACAGCAUGAUAAGAAAACUUA
rnacentral:misc_RNA from 1 species